UGCUAUGAGAAAAAACACAAAUAAGAAACAGCGGAUUCACUGUAAAAUAAAAACAAAAUAGUUCUUGUUUUAAAGAUGUAAUUGUUGUGUUUCAAAUUAUAGUUAUAUUAGUUUAUAGCGGUGGAUAAAUAUUAUUAACAUACAAAGAAGAGUCUAAAUUUUAAUGAAUAAAAUAUGUUCUCAGACGUUAAUUAUUAUUCAAAUGUUGCUAAAAUCCUUACACCUCAGCAAUCAUUUCAGAUUAAAAACGCCAACAAAGCUUUUGAAAUUUAUUUACCUAUGUAAUCUUCCUAGGGAAAGUGUCAACUUGAUAGCCUGCGCUCCUUCACCCCGUAAAUGAUUGGGACGGACUAAAAAGUACAGAACAGCAGCAAAAUCCUCAAGUCGUUAGCCGGCAGCUCAGGUGGAAAAGCAUUGUUGGCAAUAUGCAAGGUAAUCGGGUGGCCGGUCAUCAACUAUUUAGCACUGUAGUUCGUAAACAUAGUGUUGCAGUUAUCAGCUUGAAGCCGCCUCCCAGGAGCAUUAAGAGGUCAUCUCUUGAUGUUCUCAACCAGACUACUAGAAGGCAACUAACUUCAGUCCACGCAUUGACCGGCAUGGCUCCACAGUGAAGCCAUUUAUACCUUCAUCGACUUCCUCCCACUGAAUAGCGUUCUUAGAGUUACAUCUGAAAAUAUCAAUUCGUGUCAAAGCUGUGCAUCAUCAAUUUAAUAUAAUUCACUUAAAUGUGUGUCCCAAUUGGCAAUAACAAUUUAACCUGCUGAAACACUGGAGGAGGUGUCGUUAGUGAGGCCACCGAGCUUGUUGAAAUUCAAGUCGAGUGCGUGCAAACUAAAGAGCCUUCUCAUAAACCCAUCCUAACGCGGAUUG